rnacentral:rRNA from 1 species
UACGGAGGGUGCAAGCGUUAUCCGGAUUCACUGGGUUUAAAGGGGGCGUAGGUGGGUUGGUAAGUCAGUGGUGAAAUCUCCGAGCUUAACUUGGAAACUGCCAUUGAUACUAUCAGUCUUGAAUAUUGUGGAGGUCAGCGGAAUAUGUCAUGUAGCGGUGAAAUGCUUAGAUAUGACAUAGAACACCAAUUGCGAAGGCAGCUGGCUACACAUAUAUUGACACUGAGGCACGAAAGCGUGGGGAUCAAACAGG